AGUGAACGCUGGCGGCGUGCCUAAUACAUGCAAGUCGAACGAAGUGGCGCACGGGUGAGUAAUAUAUAGUUAAUCUGCCCUACACAGAGGAACAACAGUUGGAAACGACUGCUAAUACCUCAUAGUGUAGGAUGAGACUAUAUCGUAUCAGCUAGUUGGUAAGGUAAUGGCUUACCAAGGCUAUGACGCGUAACUGGUCUGCGAGGAUGAUCAGUAGAAUUGGACCGGAGGCACGGUCGAAAAUCCUUCGGGAGGCAGCAGUAAGGAAUAGUGCCCAAUGGGGGAAACCCUGACGCAGCAACGCGUCGUGGAGGAUGACACGUUUCGGAGCGUAAACUCCUUUUAUCAGGAAAGCGGUACCUGAUGAAUAAGCACCGGCUAACUCCGUGCCAGCAGCCGCGGUAAUUC
rnacentral:rRNA from 1 species